rnacentral:rRNA from 1 species
CGCGUAGGCGGAUAUUUAAGUCGGGGGUGAAAGCCCAGGGCUCAACCCUGGAAUUGCCUUCGAUACUGGAUAUCUUGAGUUCGGGAGAGGUGAGUGGAAUGCCGAGUGUAGAGGUGAAAUUCGUAGAUAUUCGGCGGAACACCAGUGGCGAAGGCGACUCACUGGCCCGAUACUGACGCUGAGGCGCGAAAGCGUGGGGAGCAAACA